rnacentral:rRNA from 1 species
GACGAACGCUGGCGGCGUGCCUAAUACAUGCAAGUAGAACGCACAGUUUAUACCGUAGCUUGCUACACCAUAAACUGUGAGUUGCGAACGGGUGAGUAACGCGUAGGUAACCUGCCUGGUAGCGGGGGAUAACUAUUGGAAACGAUAGCUAAUACCGCAUAAUAUUGAUUAUUGCAUGAUAAUUGAUUGAAAGAUGCUAUUGCAUCACUACCAGAUGGACCUGCGUUGUAUUAGCUAGUAGGUGAGGUAACGGCGCACCUAGGCGACGAUACAUAGCCGACCUGAGAGGGUGGUCGGCCACCCUGGGACUGAGACACGGCCCAGACUCCUACGGGAGGCAGCCGUAGGGAAUCUUCGGCAAUGGACGAAAGUCUGACCGAGCAACGCCGCGUGAGUGAAGAAGGUUUUCGGAUCGUAAAGCUCUGUUGUAAGAGAAGAACGGGUGUGAGAGUGGAAAGUUCACACUGUGACGGUAUCUUACCAGAAAGGGACGGCUAACUACGUG